GACCUGGCGGCGCAGUCUCGCGGGAUUCCUCAGCUCUCGCUCCCGGUGCGGCUCCUGAGGUGGCUAGAGUCCCGGACACUCCCGGGAGCCGUCUCUGGUCUCGGGGGUACGGUGGGCUGGACGGGGACGGGGAGGAAGGUGCCUUCGACCGCCGCCCGAGUAAUUGACCCAGAACUCAUUUUCAGGAAAAAGGGCUUCCUUCAAAAUGGUAAAAUAAUUAAACGAGGAAUUUGAGCAUUUUAUCUUUGGAUGGAAAUCUGAGAAUGAAAAGAGCGAUUAAUCCAAGCCAUGUGGUAAAAUUAGGAAUUUGAAGAGAAUGGAAACGUUUACAUUUUUGUGGACAUGUAUUUUUCUACCCCUCAUACGAGGGCACAGUCUUUUCACCUGUGAACCAAUUACUGUUCCCAGAUGUAUGAAAAUGGCCUACAACAUGACAUUUUUCCCUAAUCUGAUGGGUCAUUAUGACCAGAGUAUUGCGGCUGUGGAAAUGGAGCUUUUUCUUCCUCUUGCAAAUCUGGAAUGUUCACCAAAUGUUGAAACUUUCCUUUGCAAAGCUUUUGUACCAACCUGCACAGAGCAAAUUGAUGUGGUUCCACCCUGUCGUAAAUUUUGUGAGAAAGUGUAUUCUGACUGCAAAAAAUUAAUGGACACUUUUGGGAUCCGAUGGCCUGAGGAACUUGAAUGUGACAGAUUACAAUACUGUGACGAGUCUGUUCCUGUAACUUUUGAUCAACACACAGAGUUUCUCAGUCCUCACAAGAAAACAGAACAAGUCCAAAGAGACAUUGGAUUUUGGUGUCCAAGGCAUCUUAAGACUUCUGGGGGACAAGGCUAUAAGUUUCUGGGAAUUGACCAAUGUGCACCCCCAUGCCCCAACAUGUAUUUUAAAAGUGAUGAGCUAGAGUUUGCAAAAAGUUUUAUUGGAAUAGUUUCAAUAUUUUGUCUUUGUGCAACUCUGUUUACAUUCCUUACUUUUUUAAUUGAUGUUAGAAGGUUCAGAUACCCUGAGAGACCAAUUAUAUAUUACUCUGUCUGUUACAGCAUUGUAUCUCUUAUGUACUUCAUUGGAUUCUUGCUAGGCAAUAGCACAGCCUGCAAUAAGGCAGAUGAGAAACUAGAACUUGGUGACACAGUUGUUCUAGGCUCUCAAAAUAAGGCUUGCACCGUUUUGUUUAUGUUUUUGUAUUUUUUCACAAUGGCUGGCACUGUGUGGUGGGUGAUUCUUACCAUUACUUGGUUCUUAGCUGCUGGGAGAAAAUGGAGUUGUGAAGCCAUUGAACAGAAAGCAGUGUGGUUUCAUGCUGUUGCAUGGGGAAUACCAGGUUUUCUGACCGUUAUGCUUCUUGCUAUGAACAAAGUUGAAGGAGACAAUAUUAGUGGAGUUUGCUUUGUCGGCCUUUAUGACCUGGAUGCCUCUCGCUACUUUGUACUCUUGCCACUGUGCCUUUGUGUGUUUGUCGGGCUCUCUCUUCUUUUAGCUGGCAUUAUUUCCUUAAAUCAUGUUCGACAAGUUAUACAACAUGAUGGCCGGAACCAAGAGAAACUAAAGAAAUUUAUGAUUCGAAUUGGAGUCUUCAGUGGCCUGUAUCUUGUGCCAUUAGUGACACUUCUUGGAUGUUACGUCUAUGAGCAAGUGAACAGGAUAACCUGGGAGAUAACUUGGGUCUCUGACCAUUGUCGUCAGUACCACAUCCCAUGUCCUUACCAGGCCAAAACAGAAACUCGACCAGAGUUGGCUUUAUUUAUGAUAAAAUAUCUGAUGACAUUAAUUGUUGGCAUCUCUGCUGUCUUCUGGGUUGGAAGCAAAAAGACAUGCACAGAAUGGGCUGGGUUUUUUAAACGAAGUCGCAAGAAAGAUCCAAUCAGUGAAAGUCGAAGAGUACUACAGGAGUCGUGUGAGUUUUUCUUAAAGCACAAUUCUAAAGUUAAACACAAAAAGAAGCACUACAAACCAAGUUCACAUAAGCUGAAGGUCAUUUCCAAAUCCAUGGGAACCAGCACAGGAGCUACAGCAAAUCAUGGCACUUCUGCAGUAGCAAUCACUAACCAUGAUUACUUAGGACAGGAAACUUUGACAGAAAUACAAACCUCACCAGAAACAUCACCAGUGAGAGAGGUGAGAGCGGAUGGAGCGAGCACCUCCAAAUUACGAGAACAGGACUGUGAGGAACCUGCCUCCCCAGCAGCAUCCAGCUCCAAACUCUGCGGGGAGCAGACCGACGGGAAAGGCCGGGCAGCCAAUGUGAAUGAUAAGAGCAGUGUGUCUGAAAGUGCACGGAGUGAAGGAAGUGUGAACCAAAGCAAAACUGUCUAGUUGUGAGUUUAUUUCCUUGGGGGCCUAUUCUAGGAGCUAAUUAGUUUCACGGUCAGGAAAUAUAUGAAUCUGAAUAUAUAGACUCCAGACUUUAUCUGGGAAAAGUCACCAGCAGAGUACAAGCUCCCUAGUGGUUUCAGUCCUUCUGAAUGGCCGGUCCAGUGCCCCCAUGAAAACUUUCAUAAAACAGGAACCUCCAGAGCCUGUAAACCAAGCUGACCACUGGCAAAACCCCUUGCUGGCAUUUUCAGCCUCUUAGCUGCCACCUCUGUUAGUUCAGAGUCCAAGUGAAAAAGAAUAACACACUGUGUUUCUAGAGCUGACCUAGUUGGCAGGCUGUGUGCAAAUAAAAAGUACAGUAAAACAAAACAGGAGGACUGUGUUUCCCCAACUGAGUCAUCACUGCCUCUUUGUCACUGUUCUGAGACUCCAGGUAGGGCUUUCCAGGCUGGCCCUGCAGACACUGAGAGAUCCAAAGGUUUUCUUUAUGAAAGCAAAAACCAAGAGAGGGGCGUGCAGCACAUCCAAAACUGGGGUGUUACCGACCAGGGUUCUCAGUGUCCUUAAUCAAUAGAAAUUGCUAAGAGGCCAGAUGAGAAAUUCAGGCAAGGCUUUACUGAGACUCACGCUGCAGUAUGAGCGAGGGAAAACCAGUAACAGGUGCCCUUGCUUGCCCCCCGAGGUGGGGUGGGCUGGUCCCUUAAUUGGGGGGGGAUGGGGGAAGACUGGCGGGUCAGGCCAGAGGGGCGGCUUAGGUGGUCUGCCCGCCCCUGGGUGGUGCCGUGUGCAGGGAUCCUGCGCAGCCCCUGCUUUUGCUCCUGGCACCUCGUGAGUGGAAGCUGGGUUUUGGUCGUUUUGUACCUUACUGUUCAUAAUUUGCCCUAACUGUGCAGGUAUGCAAUUAUUUUCAGUCCCUUAGAGCAGGGCUCCCCAACCCCCGGGCCGUGGACUGGUACCGGUCUGCAGCCUGUUAGGAACCGGGCCGCACAGCAGGAGGUGAGCGGUGAGUGAGCGAAGCUUCAUCCGGGGCUCCCCAUCGCUCCCCAUCGCUCUCAUUACCACCUGAACCAUCCCCCACCACUGCCCCUGUGGAAGAAUUGUCUUCCGCAAAACUGGUCCCUGGUGCCAAAAUUGUUGGGGACCCCUGCCUUCUAGUUUCUUUGUAUUCCGUGGCUCAAAGAGACGUUUCUCCAAGUGCAAGCACUUCAGCAAAGGGUCCCAGGUCUUAGCCUGUCUCAGGGACAGGGUGCCUUGGGGACUUUGGAGGCAGGGCAGAGUCUGGAUACCCUGGACGCCCUGAAGAGACCAAAGACAGUAUAAGAUGAUGUCCCUUCCAUUCAGCAAGCAUAGAGCGUGACGGAAGGGGCUGACUUCACACAAGCAAGAGGUAAGAACCUCUAAAGAAUUAGCAUGAAAUCUAAAGGCACUGACAUGGAAGCCUUCCAAAAUAUUGCUCAGCACAAAAAAGCAAGUGACAAAACUAUACUUACAGGGUAACAGCACAUAUGUGAACAACCCCCAGGCUGCAGAAUAAUGCUGCAUGUUUUCUCUAGUUACAUAAGCAGGGACUCUGGAAAAUGUGGUAACGUGGGUUAUCUCUGUGGAGGGGACCAGCAUCAUAGGUGAUGAUCAAAGCGGACUUUAGCCUGAUCUGUAAUGUUUAAAUGUUUAUAAGGAAGAUCUAUUAAUAUAUCACAUGGUAUAAUUAAGAAUUAAUUUUUUAAUAGAAGAUCUACUAAGCACAUGUCUAGCUAAUGGCGACACAGUGGGUCCACCCACAUCUGGCUUCAAGGGUCCUUGCAUCACUGAUGUGCACACCUACAGGCCAGGGAGGGGCAGCAGCCCACACCAGUGAGAUCUGGAAAGGCCACCAGCUCAUCCAGUUCAAACUCCCUUUGCUUUCUCCCUCCUGUGCUUCUCUCUGCCCCUGAAACAACCUUUAGGUGGCAAUCAGCAUAUGGGCUUUGAGAAUGUCCCUUCCCCAGACUCUACUCCCAUCCCCACAAAUAAAGCUUAGGCCUGCUGACUUGAUCCAGCACUGGGAGACAGAGGACCAGAGGACCAGCCCCACAGAGUGUGAUACGGGGGGGACACGAGGAAAGGAAGAGAGGCUGCAGUAGGCUGAAUUCAGCUGAACACACAAUGGCAAAUCCUUUCUAUCCACCACCCCUCCACCCUCCCACCCCCCUACACACAGACCACCACCACAAGUGCUCCAGCAGUAGGUAAUUCAACAUACAACUUGUUUCUGUGUUCAUGAAUUUCAGGUUGAGAAGCUGGUCAAAAGUGAAUGCUAGAGUCUGGGAUCUGAAAGUCAGGGAGAGUCUAAGGCGUUUGUGGCUUUCUGAAGAAGGCAGACCCCUGCUUUUCUCUAGCGACUCCCCCCGUGUAGUCACCCACCCCUUAGAGCCAUGCAGUUGGCCCAGGCUCCUGAGUCCUGGGCUGAGCGAUUGGGGCCCACGGAUCUGAGAAAGAAGUUGGCUGUUUAUGGCUGGCUCUGUCCUAGCAGCCUGGCUAGGUCCUCUUGGGACCACCUAGUUUUGCUCAACCGUUCCCAGCUGGCUUAGUAGUUCCAAAUUUAGGCUGGACUGUGAAGGGAAUAAGUUUCUUGUCUGUACCUUCCUGCUGCCUAAACUGCUAAGGGAUUAGGUCUUGAUUUUAGCAAUUGACAUGGUCUUUUCCCUCCAGACCAGGUGAGUCAACUUCUCCUCUUAACAUGUUUGCCAGGAGCAAAAAUAACCUGCUUAACCACCUGACGCUUAAAACAAAGAUUCACUAAAUGUGCCAAUAGGAGUACUAUAUAUAUCAGCCAAAGACAAGGCCCAGCUGUGGGCCAUGAGAGCCUCCCACUGCUGGGUCUGCCGUUCAGCUCCAGAAACAAGCCAGGAAGAAAAGCAAUGAAUGAGAGUUCCUGUUGCUCCACGUUCGGUGUUGUCAGUGUUCUGGAUUUUGACCAUUCUAAUAGGUAUGUAGUGGUACCUUACUGUUGUUUUAAUUUGCAAUUCUCUGAUGACAUAUGAUGUGAAUAUCUCUUCAUACACUCAUUUGUUAUCUAUAAAUCUUCUUUACUGAGGUA